CCCUUAGAUGUCCUGGGCCGCACGCGCGUUACACUGAUGCAUUCAACGAGCUUAUAACCUUGGCCGAGAGGCCUGGGCAAUCUUGUUAACGUGCAUCGUGAUAGGGAUAGAUUAUUGAAAUUAUUAAUCUUGAACGAGGAAUUCCUAGUAAACGCAGAUCAUCAAUCUGCAUUGAUUACGUCCCUGCCCUUUGUACACACCGCCCGUCGCACCUACCGAUUGGAUGGUCCGGUGAAGCCUCGGGAUGGUGGUUCUUGCCGCUUUAUUGUGGCGUGACCGCGAGAACUUGUCUAAACCUUAUCAUCUAGAGGAAGGUGAAGUCGUAACA
rnacentral:rRNA from 1 species